UACAGAGGUCUCAAGCGUUGUUCGGAUUCAUUGGGCGUAAAGGGUGCGUAGGCGGUGAGGUAAGUCGGAUGUGAAAUCCCGGGGCUCAACCCCGGAACUGCAUUCGAUACUGCCUUGCUUGAGCACUGGAGAGGAGACUGGAAUUUACGGUGUAGCAGUGAAAUGCGUAGAUAUCGUAAGGAAGACCAGUGGCGAAGGCGAGUCUCUGGACAGUUCCUGACGCUGAGGCACGAAGGUCAGGGGAGCAAACGGG
rnacentral:rRNA from 1 species